GCGCAACAANUUCCACNNGGCUUACCUUUUCAGUCGUGUGUCAUUGCUUGUAUCGCAUUGAAUGCAUGGUGGGUUUCUUGUGUUGCAUGCCUAAUUGAUGGUAUCAUUUGAAGAAUUGAUGUCCCUUUUCAUCUUGUGUCGCACAUGCGAUGUGAGAUGAACCUUGAAGCAGACUUUGUGAUCCACUCUUUCGAUGUACACGCAUUGAUUUUGUGGCCCACUGUGUGUUGUUUGGUCUCAUGGAUAUGGAACCUGGUGUGGGCAUGGGAUCUUUACUAGUUCCUUGUUUGCCCUGGUUUAGCUUUUCUAAUACGAUUGUUUAUCACAUUUUAAUGUGGUAGGCUAUAUCGGAUAUGAAUGCUACCUGGUUGAUCCUGCC
rnacentral:misc_RNA from 1 species